GCCCGCUUGGCUCAGUGGUAGAGCGUGUCACUAGUAAUAAAUGUUGGAAAGUGGAUCACAAUUCACCUCCUUCAACCACCAGGUCAAUGACAAGGUCAUCAGUUCGAUUCUGAUAGUGGGCA